rnacentral:rRNA from 1 species
ACUGAUGUAUUCAAUGAGUCAUAGCCUUGACCGACACGCCCAGAUAAUUUUUGAAAUUUCAUCGUGAUGGGGAUAGAUCAUUGCAAUUGUUGGUCUUCAAC